CCUACGGGGUGCAGCAGUGAGGAAUAUUGGUCAAUGGACGAGAGUCUGAACCAGCCAAGUCGCGUGAAGGAUGACUGCCCUAUGGGUUGUAAACUUCUUUUAUAUGGGAAUAAAACAGGGUAUGCAUACACUCUUGUAUGUACCAUAUGAAUAAGGAUCGGCUAACUCCGUGCCAGCAGCCGCGGUAAUACGGAGGAUCCGAGCGUUAUCCGGAUUUAUUGGGUGUAAAGGGUGCGUAGGUGGAUUGUUAAGUCAGUUGUGAAAGUUUGCGGCUCAACCGUAAAAUUGCAGUUGAAACUGGCAUUCUUGAGUACAGUAGAGGUAGGCGGAAUUCGGGGUGUAGCGGUGAAAUGCGUAGAUAUCACGAAGAACACCGAUUGCGAAGGCAGCUCACUGGACUACAACUGACACUGAUGCUCGAAAGUGUGGGUAUCAAACAGGAUUAGAUACCCGUGUAGUC
rnacentral:rRNA from 1 species